rnacentral:rRNA from 1 species
CACGUAGGGGACGAGCGUUGUCCGGAUUCAUUGGGCGUAAAGCGCGCGUAGGCGGCUCGGAAAGUCGGUCGUGAAAUGCCGGGGCUCAACCCCGGGACUGCGUCCGAUACUCUCGAGCUGGAGGCAGGUAGGGGAGAUCGGAAUUCCUGGUGUAGCGGUGAAAUGCGCAGAUAUCAGGAGGAACACCGGUGGCGAAGGCGGGUCUCUGGGCCGUAACUGACGCUGAGGAGCGAAAGCGUGGGGAGCGAACAGG